CAAUUGGGGAUUGAUCUCUCCUUCUCCUCCUCCUACCAUCCACAGACCAAUGGUACAGCUGAGAGGGCUAACCAGUCAUUAGAAGUUUAUUUGCGUUGUUUUAUUAAUAGCACACAAGACAAUUGGUCUGAACUACUCCCGUGGGCCGAGUUCACUAGAAACAAUGCUGUUCAUGACUCCUCUGGGCACAGUCCAUUUUUUGUCAAUAAUGGUAGGCAUCCUACGGUUCUCCCUACGGUAUUUUCUGAUACUGCCAUUCCUGCUCUGGAUGAGCGUCUGGCCUCCAUUCGGGAUACCUGGGUUAAGGUUCAAACUGCUCUAGG